GAGUUCAAUAGUACGUGAAACCGUUCAGGGGUAAACCUGAGAAGCCCGAAAGGUCGAAAGAGGAGAUUCAGCGUGUCUCGACGGUGGCGCUGGACGGUCGCGAGACGGAAGGCGUACGCGUCGUCCGCUCCUUCCGUUCUUCGAACCGCCGUGGAACGCGUGCACUUCUCUUCCUGUAGGACGUUGCGAUCCGUUGGGUGCCGGUCUAAGGCCCGCGGUGGAGCCCGUCCGGACGGUUCACCGUUCCGGACGAACCCGCGGUGUUUCCCGAUCGGCUCGCUCGACGGUAUACAUAUGGCGCGGGGCCGCUACACAUACAGUUAGCGUCCGACCCGUGGCAAGCGCGCUCGUCGUGAUGGUGAUCGGACCUGGUGCCGGUCCUGUCCCCGAGUGGCUGUUCGCUGCGGAGUUCUCGGACAGACCUCGUUGAAACGCCGAUCUGCGACGCUAUAGCUUUGGGUACUUUCAGGACCCGUCUUGAAACACGGACCAAGGAGUCUAGCAUGUGCGCGAGUCAUUGGGACAUGACUAAACCUAAAGGCGCAAUGAAAGUGAAAGUCCGCCUUGCGCGGACCGAGGGAGGAUGGGUGGCAGUUACGGCUGCCGCUCCGCACUCCCGGGGCGUCUCGUUCUCAUUGCGAGAAGAGGCGCACCAACAGCGUACACGCUGGGACCCGAAAGAUGGUGAACUAUGCCUGGUCAGGACGAAGUCAGGGGAAACCCUGAUGGAGGUCCGUAGCGAUUCUGACGUGCAAAUCGAUCGUCGGAACUGGGUAUAGGGGCGAAAGACUAAUCGAACCAU
rnacentral:rRNA from 1 species